rnacentral:ncRNA from 1 species
UGAGGUGGAGGUCGCAAUAUUUAUUAGUAACUUUAUUGAGAUUUAGGAGUCGUUGAUAUAAAGUAAAAGGAAAUAUUGCCGAAAUGAUAUGUAACCUAAAUACAUAUUGUUGGGGCUAUGUUGAAUAAGCAUAGAACUGUCAUAACAGUGAUGUUAUGUUGAGCUACUUU